rnacentral:rRNA from 1 species
AUGGCCGACGCCCGCCUCCUUGUCGGCAACCGCAUGGCCGAGCACGAAUUCGAGGCGGCCGACACUUGGGACAACGUCUGCGUGGAGGUCAUCCCGGGGAAGCGGCGCAUAGACCUGUACCUGAAUCAUGAUUCCCAGAGGUACAUGCUUGAGGUGUUCUUCGAGGACAUCAGGGAUUGUCUCCAGUGCAGCUUCGAUGGGACCGGCGUCAUAUUGCUUCAGGACCUGUCGGAAGGCGUCACUCCUCUGAAGAUCAGGUUAUUCCUCUCUGUCCAGAUCUACCACGCUGCUGUGGUGAACACUUCCAUGAUCAUGGGUUUGUUUAGCCGCUGCCAUCCAGUCAAACCUAUCUCCUUCUAUUGCCCAGGUCAACCCAACUGA